AUUUUUGUUUGGUUAGUUUCUUUAUUGAAACAAAUGUAUAUAAUAUUUAGAUUCUUUUAAGUAUCGAAAUAAACUUGCAAUAUAAAAUUUUUAAUGUUUGGUCCACUUGACAACAUGAUUGGAAACGAUACAAUAUAUGGUUACCUUAGUAACCAUUUGUUAUGAUUUUGUAUAAACACAUAAUAUAAGGUAAGUUUGUAGCUGACUAUACAUAUGUAUGUAUGUAUGUAUAUAUAUACAUAUAUAUACAUAUAUAUAUUUA